rnacentral:rRNA from 1 species
GACGAACGCUGGCGGCGUGCUUAACACAUGCAAGUCGAACGGAAAGGCCCUGCUUUUGUGGGGUGCUCGAGUGGCGAACGGGUGAGUAACACGUGAGUAACCUGCCCUUGACUUUGGGAUAACUUCAGGAAACUGGGGCUAAUACCGGAUAGGAGCUCCUGCUGCAUGGUGGGGGUUGGAAAGUUUCGGCGGUUGGGGAUGGACUCGCGGCUUAUCAGCUUGUUGGUGGGGUAGUGGCUUACCAAGGCUUUGACGGGUAGCCGGCCUGAGAGGGUGACCGGCCACAUUGGGACUGAGAUACGGCCCAGACUCCUACGGGAGGCAGCAGUGGGGAAUAUUGCACAAUGGGCGGAAGCCUGAUGCAGCAACGCCGCGUGCGGGAUGACGGCCUUCGGGUUGUAAACCGCUUUCGCCUGUGACGAAGCGUGAGUGACGGUAAUGGGUAAAGAAGCACCGGCUAACUACGUGCCGGCAGCCGCGGUGAUACGUAGGGUGCGAGCGUUGUCCGGAUUUAUUGGGCGUAAAGGGCUCGUAGGUGGUUGAUCGCGUCGGAAGUGUAAUCUUGGGGCUUAACCCUGAGCGUGCUUUCGAUACGGGUUGACUUGAGGAAGGUAGGGGAGAAUGGAAUUCCUGGUGGAGCGGUGGAAUGCGCAGAUAUCAGGAGGAACACCAGUGGCGAAGGCAGUUCUCUGGCCCUUUCCUGACGCUGAGGAGCGAAAGCGUGGGGAGCGAACAGGCUUAGAUACCCUGGUAGUCCACGCUGUAAACGGUGGGUACUAGGUGUGGGGUCCAUUCCACGGGUUCCGUGCCGUAGCUAACGCUUUAAGUACCCCGCCUGGGGAGUACGGCCGCAAGGCUAAAACUCAAAGGAAUUGACGGGGCCCCGCACAAGCGGCGGAGCGUGCGGAUUAAUUCGAUGCAACGCGUAGAACCUUACCUGGGUUUGACAUGGAUCGGGAGUGCUCAGAGAUGGGUGUGCCUCUUUUGGGGUCGGUUCACAGGUGGUGCAUGGCUGUCGUCAGCUCGUGUCGUGAGAUGUUGGGUUAAGUCCCGCAACGAGCGCAACCCUUGUUCACUGUUGCCAGCACGUUAUGGUGGGGACUCAGUGGAGACCGCCGGGGUCAACUCGGAGGAAGGUGGGGAUGACGUCAAGUCAUCAUGCCCCUUAUGUCCAGGGCUUCACGCAUGCUACAAUGGCUGGUACAGAGAGUGGCGAGCCUGUGAGGGUGAGCGAAUCUCGGAAAGCCGGUCUCAGUUCGGAUUGGGGUCUGCAACUCGACCUCAUGAAGUCGGAGUCGCUAGUAAUCGCAGAUCAGCAACGCUGCGGUGAAUACGUUCCCGGGGCU